AUGGCAACUCCUUCAGAGGCUAGCGCUUCACAUGUCAAUAGAUCAGAAGAUCCUAGUGUACUCCUGGAGCGUCUUCACCUCGAGGAGGAUGAAUUAGACAACUUAGUUUGGGAGGAGGAAGUGGAAGAACCAGAGGAGAAGCCAAAGUGGCUUGCGUUGGCCAGGGUGCUUACGGGUAAAUCCUUUGGGCAGGGAGCUCUGAUCGCGGAUAUGAAGGCGGCUUGGAACCUGGCACAAGAUGUGAUUUGGCGGAGAAUAAACCCUAAUCUGUUCUCAAUGCAAUUUAAUUGCUUAGCAGACUGGAACAAGUCAAUCCACCAGGGGCCUUGGGACUUCAAAGGGAUGGCCUUGAUCAUUGCGGAGUAUGAUGGGUUUAAGAACCCAGAAUCAGUCAAGCUGGACAAGAUUGAAACUUGGUGCCAGAUACAUAAACUCCCUGACAUGGUUCUGAAAAGAGAGAAGUUUGUGAAAAUUUUGGCUGAGCGCAUUGGUGAAGUAUUAGAGGUGCAGAUUGUCCUUCCUAGCGGCUUUAUUGGGGAGUUCAUACGAGUUCGGGUGAAAUUAGAUGUCAACAAAAAGUUAACCAGAUUUGUCAGCUUCACAAAAUCUGGGGAGACUGAAUUCUAUCAGGUGAAGUUUGAAAAACUUCUAGUUUUUGCUAUAUGUGUGGAUUGCUUGGGCACUGGUAUGAAGAGUGUGGAACUGGAGAGCACGCCCAUGAGGAUAUGGAAUGGGGCCCUUUCAUCCUUUCUCCUAGAAGACGGCGGGGUGGAAGAGGUCGUGGCUCAGGGCGUGGCGCUGGUCGAGGCUUUGGCCGUGGAGGAGGUGCAUAUGAUGGUGACAAUGGAACAGAUGAUGUUUUUGGUAGGGGAAGAGGCAUAG
rnacentral:rRNA from 1 species